AACGAACGCUGGCGGCAUGCCUAACACAUGCAAGUCGAACGAGACCUUCGGGUCUAGUGGCGCACGGGCGCGUAACGCGUGGGAACCUGCCCUUAGGUUCGGAAUAACUCCCCGAAAGGGGUGCUAAUACCGGAUAAUGUCUUCGGACCAAAGAUUUAUCGCCUUUGGAUGGGCCCGCGUUGGAUUAGCUAGUUGGUAGGGUAAAAGCCUACCAAGGCGACGAUCCAUAGCUGGUCUGAGAGGAUGAUCAGCCACACUGGGACUGAGACACGGCCCAGACUCCUACGGGAGGCAGCAGUGGGGAAUAUUGGACAAUGGGCGAAAGCCUGAUCCAGCAAUGCCGCGUGAGUGAUGGAGGCCUUAGGGUUGUAAAGCUCUUUUACCCGGGAUGAUAAUGACAGUACCGGGAGAAUAAGCUCCGGCUAACUCCGUG
rnacentral:rRNA from 1 species